GAUGAACGCUGGCGGCGUGCCUAAUACAUGCAAGUCGAGCGAACAGAUGAGGAGCUUGCUCCUCUGACGUUAGCGGCGGACGGGUGAGUAACACGUGGAUAACCUACCUAUAAGACUGGGAUAACUUCGGGAAACCGGAGCUAAUACCGGAUAAUAUAUUGACCCGCUUGGUUCAAUAGUGAAAGACGGUUUUGCUGUCACUUAUAGAUGGAUCCGCGCCGCAUUAGCUAGUUGGUAAGGUAACGGCUUACCAAGGCAACGAUGCGUAGCCGACCUGAGAGGGUGAUCGGCCACACUGGAACUGAGACACGGUCCAGACUCCUACGGGAGGCAGCAGUAGGGAAUCUUCCGCAAUGGGCGAAAGCCUGACGGAGCAACGCCGCGUGAGUGAUGAAGGUCUUCGGAUCGUAAAACUCUGUUAUUAGGGAAGAACAAAUGUGUAAGUAACUAUGCACGUCUUGACGGUACCUAAUCAGAAAGCCACGGCUAACUACGUG
rnacentral:rRNA from 1 species